rnacentral:rRNA from 1 species
UUUAUGGAGAGUUUGAUCCUGGCUCAGGAUGAACGCUGGCGGCGUGCCUAAUACAUGCAAGUCGAGCGAACGGACGAGAAGCUUGCUUCUCUGAUGUUAGCGGCGGACGGGUGAGUAACACGUGGAUAACCUACCUAUAAGACUGGGAUAACUUCGGGAAACCGGAGCUAAUACCGGAUAAUAUUUUGAACCGCAUGGUUCAAAAGUGAAAGACGGUCUUGCUGUCACUUAUAGAUGGAUCCGCGCUGCAUUAGCUAGUUGGUAAGGUAACGGCUUACCAAGGUAACGAUGCAUAGCCGACCUGAGAGGGUGAUCGGCCACACUGGAACUGAGACACGGUCCAGACUCCUACGGGAGGCAGCAGUAGGGAAUCUUCCGCAAUGGGCGAAAGCCUGACGGAGCAACGCCGCGUGAGUGAUGAAGGUCUUCGGAUCGUAAAACUCUGUUAUUAGGGAAGAACAUAUGUGUAAGUAACUGUGCACAUCUUGACGGUACCUAAUCAGAAAGCCACGGCUAACUACGUGCCAGCAGCCGCGGUAAUACGUAGGUGGCAAGCGUUAUCCGGAAUUAUUGGGCGUAAAGCGCGCGUAGGCGGUUUUUUAAGUUUGAUGUGAAAGCC